ensembl:rRNA 5S_rRNA 5S ribosomal RNA
GAUUACGGCCAUACCACACUGACAACGCCUGAUCUCGGAAGCUAAGCAGAGUUAGGCUGGGUCAGUACUUGGAUGUGUGACCGCCUGGGAAUACCUGGUGCUGUAAGCA